CACCGCUGCAUCCACCGCCCCGGACUCCGCCCCCAGGGCUGGGCGUGAUAGAUCCCUCCGCAGACAGCCCCGCCCACAGCUCAGCCGGAGUCGGAUAGCACCUGCUCAUUGGUGGGAAAAGACGUCACUCAUGACCCGUUGUCAUCGUGAUCCCCCACCACCGAGGGCCAUCCCCCAACCAGCGAACACACCGCACUCAUGUCCACCACAUCCUGUUCCAGUAACCAUGUGGCUUCUUACCAAUUGCUCCCUGAUGUUGCGUCCCCGACGAUAGGUGACACUGGGAUACGGGGGAGUGUCCUCCAGAGAUUGGAAGGGGAACCACUAGGGAGCGCUCUAUAAAACAUAGCCAGCGCUCGCGCACCGCCCCUAGUAGACAGAGUGGAAACUACAGC